ACGAACGCUGGCGGCGUGCUUAACACAUGCAAGUCGAACGGGAUUUAGUAAACGGAAGCCUCGGUGGAAGAUUACUGAUGAGAGUGGCGAACGGGUGAGUAACGCGUGAGCAACCUGCCUAUGACAGUGGGAUAGCCUCGGGAAACCGGGAUUAAUACCGCAUAAAAUCGUAGAAACACAUGUUUCAACGGUCAAAGAUUUAUCGGUCAUAGAUGGGCUCGCGUCUGAUUAGCUAGUUGGUGAGAUAACGGCCCACCAAGGCGACGAUCAGUAGCCGGUCUGAGAGGAUGAACGGCCACAUUGGAACUGAGACACGGUCCAAACUCCUACGGGAGGCAGCAGUGGGGAAUAUUGCACAAUGGGGGAAACCCUGAUGCAGCGACGCCGCGUGAACGAAGAAGGUAUUCGUAUCGUAAAGUUCUGUCCUAUGGGAAGAUAAUGACAGUACCAUAGAAGAAAGCUCCGGCUAAAUACGUG
rnacentral:rRNA from 1 species